UACGUAGGGGGCGAGCGUUGUCCGGAUUUAUUGGGCGUAAAGAGCGUGUAGGCGGCUUGGUAGGUCUCGCGUCAAAACCUGAGGCUCAACCUCAGUUCGCGUGGGAAACCACCUAGCUAGAGUCCGGAAGAGGAGAACGGAAUUCCCAGUGUAGCGGUGAAAUGCGUAGAUAUUCGCAAGAACACCAGUGGCGAAGGCGGCUCACUGGUCCGGUACUGACGCUGAGGUGCGAAAGCGUGGGGAGCAAACAGG
rnacentral:rRNA from 1 species